AACGAACGCUGGCGGCAGGCCUAACACAUGCAAGUCGAGCGCGCCUUCGGGUGAGCGGCGGACGGGUGAGUAACGCGUGGGAAUAUGCCCUUCUCUACGGAAUAGUCCUGGGAAACUGGGGGUAAUACCGUAUACGCCCUUUGGGGGAAAGAUUUAUCGGGGAAGGAUUAGCCCGCGUUGGAUUAGGUAGUUGGUGGGGUAAUGGCCUACCAAGCCGACGAUCCAUAGCUGGUUUGAGAGGAUGAUCAGCCACACUGGGACUGAGACACGGCCCAGACUCCUACGGGAGGCAGCAGUGGGGAAUCUUAGACAAUGGGGGCAACCCUGAUCUAGCCAUGCCGCGUGAGUGAUGAAGGCCUUAGGGUUGUAAAGCUCUUUCAGCUGGGAAGAUAAUGACGGUACCAGCAGAAGAAGCCCCGGCUAACCCCGUG
rnacentral:rRNA from 1 species